rnacentral:rRNA from 1 species
GACGAACGCUGGCGGCGUGUUUAACACAUGCAAGUCGAGCGGUAAGGCCCUUUCGGGGGUACACGAGCGGCGAACGGGUGAGUAACACGUGGGUGACCUGCCCUCAGCUCUGGGAUAAGCCUGGGAAACCGGGUCUAAUACUGGAUAUGACUCCAUGACGCAUGUUGUGGGGUGGAAAGCCUUGUGCGGCUGAGGAUGGGCCCGCGGCCUAUCAGCUUGUUGGUGGGGUGAUGGCCUACCAAGGCGACGACGGGUAGCCGGCCUGAGAGGGCGACCGGCCACACUGGGACUGAGACACGGCCCAGACUCCUACGGGAGGCAGCAGUGGGGAAUCUUGCGCAAUGGGCGAAAGCCUGACGCAGCGACGCCGCGUGAGGGAUGACGG